GACGAACGCUGGCGGCGUGCUUAACCCAUGCAAGUCGAACGGAAAGGCCCUGCUUUUGUGGGGUGCUCGAGUGGCGAACGGGUGAGUAGCACGUGAGUAACCUGCCCUUGACUUUGGGAUAACUUCAGGAAACUGGGGCUAAUACCGGAUAGGAGCUCCUGCUGCAUGGUGGGGGUUGGAAAGUUUCGGCGGUUGGGGAUGGACUCGCGGCUUAUCAGCUUGUUGGUGGGGUAGUGGCUUACCAAGGCUUUGACGGGUAGCCGGCCUGAGAGGGUGACCGGCCACAUUGGGACUGAGAUACGGCCCAGACUCCUACGGGAGGCAGCAGUGGGGAAUAUUGCACAAUGGGCGGAAGCCUGAUGCAGCAACGCCGCGUGCGGGAUGACGGCCUUCGGGUUGUAAACCGCUUUCGCCUGUGACGAAGCGUGAGUGACGGUAAUGGGUAAAGAAGCACCGGCUAACUACGUG
rnacentral:rRNA from 1 species